AGCGUUGUUCGGAAUUACUGGGCGUAAAGCGCACGUAGGCGGAUACUUAAGUUAGGGGUGAAAUCCCAGAGCUCAACUCUGGAACUGCCUUUAAUACUGGGUAUCUCGAGUCCGGAAGAGGUGAGUGGAAUUCCGAGUGUAGAGGUGAAAUUCGUAGAUAUUCGGAGGAACACCAGUGGCGAAGGCGGCUCACUGGUCCGGUACUGACGCUGAGGUGCGAAAGCGUGGUGAGCAAACAGG
rnacentral:rRNA from 1 species